rnacentral:rRNA from 1 species
CCUACGGGAGGCAGCAGUAGGGGAUAUUGCUCAAUGGGGGAAACCCUGAUGCAGCAACGCCGCGUGAAGGAUGAAGGUUUUCGGAUUGUAAACUCCUUUUCUUAGAGAAGAUAAUGACGGUAUCUAACGAAUAAGCACCGGCUAACUACGUGCCAGCAGCCGCGGUAAUACGGAGGGUGCAAGCGUUACUCGGAAUUACUGGGCGUAAAGGGUGCGCAGGCGGGAUUGCAAGUCAGAUGUGAAAUCGUAUGGCUCAACCCUUAAACUGCAUUUGAAACUGUUGUUCUAGAGUAAGGGAGAGGUAGGUGGAAUUCUCGGUGUAGCGGUGAAAUGCGUAGAGAUCGAGAGGAAUACCAGUUGCGAAGGCGACCUGCUAG